rnacentral:lncRNA from 1 species
UGCAUGGGUGUUUCCCCGUUGUGCUCCUAUUUCAUUUACUUGUCAUCUGGUUGACCUCUGUAUAUUAUUUUACGGAUGUAACAUUUCAAUCCGCAUGACAUUUGUUUCUCUGAUUUAUAGUUGUACAAUUAUUAACAUGAAUAUAAAAGUAAUUCAUAAGCUGAUAUUUGUGAUCAAAAUAUAUCAUUGGAAUUGUGUCAGCACCUAUAAGCACUGGUUCUUGUGUGGAAAGUACAAGUGCAUGGAGACUGACGGCUAUGUCUUUUGGUGUUUGUAGUAUUCUUUGCAAACAUAUAUUGGGUUUCGUACUUUGUACAGUAAUGGUCAAAUAUUGAGCACGAGCUGUGCCUUAGGCGUACCUCGCGACGGUACUGGCAAAAUCUGGUGCGAAUGAAUUACAUUUCUUUUUUCUUUUUUGUUUUAGCUUGUGCACUCGGCGCCCUAAAAUCCGUGCCUUAAAGUUAGAAAUAUAGGUUCUCACUGCGUUCUUAUAGUGAUCCGGUACGUAAAAGAUGGGUGUCAAGAUAUAUUCUAAAACUUACAGUAUAAUAAGAUUGCAAUAAUAUUACUCAUUUAGCAAAUAUAUAAGUGUUAUCUAACAGUUGUAUAAUAUUGUAUUUAUUUGCCUUUGUUGCAAUUUGCUUAUAUGGUUUACCACUGAAUCAAUUAGCUUAUAUCAUAGCAGCACUUUAAUUUGAUUAAUUUGCUAAUAUGGUUAACCCUUGCGUUCUUAACAUGAAGUGAUACAAGUUUAUAUAUAUUAACAUUAAUAUUAUAAACUGUAAUUGAUUUCAUAAAAGUGCAGGCAUUUUUUUUUAAAUCUGAUUUUUUUCUUCGAUUUUUUUUGUUGUUACGCAUGAAACCCUGGCAACUAAAGUUAAAAUGGUAAACGAAUUUUCUUUUAAAGACAAAUCAACAUCAC